rnacentral:rRNA from 1 species
CUACGGGACGCUGCAGUGGGGAAUAUUGGGCAAUGGGCGCAAGCCUGACCCAGCAACGCCGCGUGAGGGAAGAAGGUUUUCGGAUUGUAAACCUCUGUCCUUGGGGACGAAGAAGUGACGGUACCCAAGGAGGUAGCUCCGGCUAACUACGUGCCAGCAGCCGCGGUAAUACGUAGGGAGCAAGCGUUGUCCGGAAUUACUGGGCGUAAAGGGUGCGUAGGCGGCAUAUUAAGUCAGGUGUGAAAUACUCGGGCUCAACCCGGGGGCUGCAUUUGAAACUGAUAUGCUUGAGUGUGAGAGAGGAAAGUGGAAUUCCUAGUGUAGCGGUGGCAUGCGUAGAUAUUAGGAGGAACACCAGUGGCGAAGGCGACUUUCUGGCUCAUAACUGACGCUGAGGCACGAAAGCGUGGGGAGCAAACAGGAUUAGAUACCCGCGUAGUC